AGCGGGGUACGCGACUGGCGAUAGGCGCGGGCUCCCACGGAGCCUGCCGCUGACGUGGAAACCGGCUGGACGACCGUCCUGCGAACCACUGGGGAGCGUACCGCCCGGGCCAUCCACCCCGCCGCGUUUGAGCCGUUCGCCUGGGCAGCCCUU
rnacentral:ncRNA from 1 species